rnacentral:rRNA from 1 species
UGGGGAAUCUUGGACAAUGGGGGCAACCCUGAUCCAGCGAUGCCGCGUGAGUGAAGAAGGCCUUCGGGUUGUAAAGCUCUUUCACCUGUGACGAUAAUGACGGUAGCAGGAGAAGAAGCACCGGCUAACUCCGUGCCAGCAGCCGCGGUAAGACGGAGGGUGCUAGCGUUGUUCGGAAUGACUGGGCGUAAAGGGCGCGUAGGUGGCUGAUAUAGUCAGGCGUGAAAGCCCCGGGCUUAACCUGGGAACUGCGUUUGAUACUGAUCGGCUAGAGGACGAGAGAGGAAAGUGGAAUACCGAGUGUAGAGGUGAAAUUCGUAGAUAUUCGGUGGAACAUCAGAGGCGAAGGCGGCUUUCUGGCUCGUUACUGACGCUGAGGCGCGAAAGCGUGGGGAGCAAA